rnacentral:tRNA from 1 species
GGAGAGGUGGGUGAGUGGCUGAAACCAACGGUUUGCUAAAUCGUCGAAGAAGCAAUUCUUCCGCGGGUUCGAAUCCCGCCCUCUCCGCCA